GGUCUGAUGGCGCAGUUGGUAGCGCGCCUGUCUAACACACAGAAGGUCCCAGGUUCGAGCCCUGGUCAGACCA
rnacentral:tRNA from 1 species